UACGUAGGCUGCAAGCGUUGUUCGGAAUUACUGGGCGUAAAGAGUGUGUAGGCGGUGUUCUAAGUUUGUCGUGAAAUCUCCCGGCUUAACUGGGAGGGUGCGGCGAAAACUGGAAUGCUAGAGGAUGGGAGAGGUAAGCGGAAUUCCUGGUGUAGCGGUGAAAUGCGUAGAUAUCAGGAGGAACACCUGUGGUGUAGACAGCUUACUGGACCAUUUCUGACGCUGAGACACGAAAGCGUGGGUAGCAAACAGG
rnacentral:rRNA from 1 species